UAAAAGUUCAGCUGGAUGCCGGUGGCUCACGCCUGUAAUCCUAGCUACUCAGGAUGCUGAAAACUGAGGAUUCUGCUUCAAAGCCAGCCCAGUCAAGACAGACUGA